GACGUAGGGCGCGAGCGUUGUCCGGAUUUAUUGGGCGUAAAGAGCUCGUAGGCGGCUUGUCGCGUCGAAUGUGAAAUCUCAGGGCUCAACUCUGACAUUGCAUUCGAUACGGGCAGGCUAGAGUUCGGUAGGGGAGACUGGAAUUCCUGGUGUAGCGGUGAAAUGCGCAGAUAUCGGGAGGAACACCUAUGGCGAAGGCAGCUCGCUGGGACGUUACUGACACUGAGACACGAAGGCCAGGGGAGCAAACGGG
rnacentral:rRNA from 1 species